UCCCUAGAGCUGUUUCCUGCAGCUCUCCUUGCCUUGCUCUUUCCAACCAGUCUGGGCCCUUCUCAUCCCUGCUGCCCCCUAAAGGGAAUGAAAGUCCCACAUCCUUCUCCAGACUCCACGGGGCCACCCAAGCCACCAGGGAGAGAGCAACUGGCCGUAUCCAGCCGCAGCACAGCACUCCUCCAGUGGCUACUGCUGAUGUUGGGAAGGCUACAGAGGCCACCAUGACCUCCUCCACAUCAGCAAGGUGUAGAGGGUACACCAACGGGACUUCAGCCUCCCCAAAGCCCACUCCGUGACCAUUCUUACACUGCUGUGUCAGAAAUUGAAGUUCCUCUCCAUGGAGCUCCGAGAUGCAUGGUUGUGGGUGAUGAGCCACUUCUGAAGACUGUAUCCCCGAUCUCGAGAUAUCACAGACUUGACUGCAACACCGCUGACAAUUAUGGAUGCAAGAAUUACUAAUCUCCAGGAUGAAAACUGCAGCAGCCCAUCUUAUCUUUGGAUUUUACCAGUAUUCCUGAGUAUCUAGAUGAGAUUAACUUUUUAAAAAAACUAGAUUUGAAGGGGAAACAAAUGUAUGAUAAAUUCAUGGGUCUUUUGUCAUUUUCAGGAAAACUUCUGCACUUAGAAACACCUGUAUUCUCCAAUGGUAUACUACAAGGCUAAUGUUAUGCAUGGAUACCUUUAGAACUGAUCUAAGGCAAGAAUACCAAGAAGUAUCAGCAUAUGCUUCCAAUACAGUUUUGCAAUCCUGUACAUCCUGUGAAAUUACAUGUUAAUAUGAGGCUCUAAGGAUAGGAUCCUUACUGGGUAACUGGUAUUCCUAGGUUAAAGCAAAUUUGUUUCACAGGGUUUUUUUAUAAGCAAUAUGACUAUGGUUGAUAAAAUAACAUCACAGAAAGCAACUUAGCCUAAUGUAACCAGUGUUGGGAUGUAUGUAUAUAUACAUUAUCUUAGUUCUGAUUUUGCCACUGAUUUAUUGUAUAUAUAUAUCUGUGUAUAGGCUUGGGGUGGAGUUUAGAAUGUUUAUGUCAAUUAGGCUUGUGCAUUUCGAUUCGGGUACAAAAUGUUUUGUGCCCGAAAAUGGCAAUUUCGGAGGUUUUGUAACCAAAACAAAAUCAAGAAUUAAAAAACAGAGAUUUUUAUUUCCAAAUCGAGAUGACUGUGUUUCAGACAGAAUACUUUGUUCUUCAGAAAAGCAUUGCAAUUGAAAAUGACUUCUCUGACUCUCUCCACUCCAGCUGAGGCACUGAGUGAUUAGCAGAAGAUAAGAUAUACAAAAAGCGGUUGAACAUGAAUGUUUAGUUAAGUAUGUGUUGUAUUCAGUGUGAUUGAAAUGCAAACUGACCUUGCAAAGGGAUUUGGAAGACAGCAUUUUGAGACAGAAAUACCCAAAUAUCUUUGAGCGUUCAAUGCAAUUCCAAAGCUCUUGCUAAAAGCCAUGGUAUAAAUUGUGUGGAGAAGCUUUUUGAGAAGCUGGUGAGUAAAGUUCUGAAAUUACACAGGUUUUUCUUUCCAAAGGUUUAAAAAGAAUCUCUUGACUUGUUCAGGGGUCUUUUGAAGAGCUUUUCCCCCCUUCUUCCGAUUUUUAUGAGUUAUAGUGGUGUCUAAGUUUUGUUGCCCAAGUUGAGCAGUCUAAUGUAAUUUAGGCCACAAUGUAAUUUGGUGGGAUAUGAUGUCUAAGCCAGUGGUUCACAACUUUUGCCAUUGUAGGGAUAGGUCAUCCACAUGGGACUAAAGGAGGGGGGGUGGAGAAUACCCCUAUCAAUCUAUUGACAUCCCCAGGAAUCUUAGUUGCUUCUCUCUUCCUUCUAACCAUGAUCCAUGGUUUUGCACUUUCUUAAAUACAGUGAUGAUAAAUCUCAACAAUUCUGAACAGUAGGCUGAUUUGUUUGGGCUACGGCUCACUCCACUUCAGUUAAAUGAACAUUUGAAGCUGUUCCAUAGUACCAAGGCAGUUUUAUUUUAUAUUUAUUUUUAACAUUUUAUAUCCCGCUCUUCCUCCAAGGAGCCCAGAGCGGUGUACUACAUACUUAGGUUUCUCCUCACAACAACCCUGUGAAGUAGGUUAGGCUGAGAGAAGUGACUGGCCCAGAGUCAUCCAGCUAGUAUCAUGGCUGAAUGGGGAUUUGAACUCGGGUUUCCCCGGUCCUAGUCCAGCACUCUAACUACUACACCAUGCUGGCUCAUUGGUCUAUCUUGCUAUCUCAAAUGGCCUGUGGUCACUGUUCCAUGGGGAGGAAGUGUUUUUAUUGAAAGAUUGCUUGAAUCCACAAAAGGGUUGUGCUGCUGUGCUAGUGCCACAGAGACAGGCUCCCACACGCUGCAAAAUUCUCAAAUUACUAUGCCAAAAAAUUAAGUGUUGUUGUUCAUCAUUCUCUUCACUCUUUCAACUUGUUUAUGUGGGGCUUCAGGGGCAAAACAGUGGGAUGGGUGGCAGUGCCCCAAGGGUGGUGCACCCAGAUUCCAAACAGGGCAAAGGGCUGAUUUCUUAGGAAUUUUUGAGGUUUACACGUCUUUAAGAUUUUUUUCUCAUAGGGGAUAAUGGAGGUUUCAGCAGCCCCAUAACUCCACCUGGGGGGCACUGGGAUGGCCCAAAGCGAGUGGUGUUGUAGUGCACAGAGGGUGCCAACCACCCCCCGGAUUGCUAACCCAUUGGGGUACUGGGCUUUGUUGUUUCUCAGGUUUUGAGUUUAGAUUCUCUGGUAGCAAAUGAGAUUUUGAAUGAAAAACCGUGAAUCCACUUUCACAUGCUACUAGAGAAUCUACUCUCAGAACACCUCUAGAACAACAAAACCCUGUAUUUCAUGGGUUGGCAACCCAUGUGGGUGUUUGGCACCCUAUGUGCACUACACCACCACUUGCUCUGGGCCACCCCAGUGCCCCUCAAGUGGAGUCAUGGGACUGCAGAAACCUCCAUUAUACCCUGCGAGGAAAAUCUGAAAGAUGCGUAACUUCAUUAAUUCUUUAAAUAUCAGCCCUUUGCCAAAUUCCUCUGGAAAAAAUUGUGGUAGGUUCCUUGUACCAACUGGGCACUACCACCAACCACACUCCACUCUGGGCCACCCACCCCCCGCAUGAAGCAAUACUUUUCCUGAAACCUCCUUCAUACCCUAUGGGGGAAAUCUGAAAGAAGCGCAAACUUCAAAAAUACACCAAAAAUAAUCAGCAGCUUGCCCAAUUCCUUUGAAAUUUUUGUGGUAGCUUCCACUCAUUGGGCACUAUAACCCCCACCCACUCUUUUGACCAUGUGACCAAUUUUUUUUUGACCAUGUGACCAAUUUUAAAAUCUGAAUUAAUUCAGAUUCAGAUUUGGAUUAAUUUGGAUACAAAUCAAAACUGGGGUGAUUCGGAAGGCUUAAUUUAAGACAAAAUACAAAAUGGGGUUGAUUUGGAUUUGGUACAAAUCGAAAUAGAAAAAAUACAAAAUGUGCAACCCUAAUGUCAAUCAUCAGUUCUGUAGACUGAUUGGUCAGUUUGUAUUCUUACUGGAUGCUUGAGACUUUUUUCCUUGUUAGGAUGAUCUUUCACUCAAAGUAGGGCUGUUGCUUAUGUUUUGGUAAUAGUUAAGUAAUAAACCUUAGUAACUUUGUCCAUAAACUUAACAAGCCUCUGUUUCUGCUCUCUUACACUCUGGUGUUACAGGUCCAGAGUGCUGAUAACAAGACGUUUAUUAACAAGAAAUGGCUACUUUUUGGUUACAGAGAUAUAUCUGGCUGUAGAGAUGCUGAGUGAUACAAAUUAUAGAAGUUGGUCAUUUAAAGUAAAGAUGUAGCUAAAUACUCUUGGACUGUCUUUUGUACUCAAAGAACAGAGAACAACAGAGAAUGGGAGAGCAGCAGGCAGGGGAUGCUGCAAACAUGAAGGCUAUGUGGCAUAUCUCCUUAACUGUCAGUGAUAAAUUAAUAUAUUAUAUAGAAGAUAAGAAAACCACAAGAGAAAUGUGGGAGAGAUCGGAAGAGCUUUUUCAACAGAAAACUAUAACAGGUCAAGUCUCUUUUAUGCUAAAGUUGUGCAACAAAAGAUUCAAGGAGAAAUAUUACAGGAACACAUAGGCUCUUUCUUGGGACUGUUGAAAGAAUUAGGAGAGCAAGAGUUAAAAUUACCUGAACCAGACAAAAUUGGGCUCGUGCUAAAUACUUUACCUAAGUAUUAAAAAAAUAUUAUUAACCUCCUGCAAAUAAAGGAGAAUGUGACUUCAUGUUUUGUACAAGAGCGUUUGUUGGAGUUUGAUCUGAGAGAACAAACAGAAAGGGAAGAAACAGUCCAAAAUUAUGCUCAUAAACUUCCUAAUGGAAGGCGAUGUGGUGUUUUGUUUUGUUUUUAAUUUUUAUUUGCGGUAUUCACGUAGAAAAGUAUCACAUAAUAACACAGUACACUUAACAAUCAUAUUUUCCAUAUAUCACAAGAAAAUCCAAAAUCCGAUCUAGUACUGUUAAUAUAAUCUGCCCAAAUAUGGUGGAACUGUGAUUCUACUCUCACAGCCUGCAUUAAUCUAAUCUUAUCAGUGAUCUUUUCUAAAGUGAAAUUGACCACACCUUAUUAUACCACUGCUCAAUUGCUAAUAGAUCCAAAUAUUUCCAUUGCUGAACAUGGCAGGCAAUGUUUUGUGUGUGGAAGUACUUCACAUUUAAAGACUUCAUGUCCUGAGAACAGAAAAACAAUUUCCAAGAGAGGAAGAAUGAUGAGGUAAAUCUCAGAAAGCUGGAUUUUUAAAUAAACAGACUGCUGCAUGAAAAAAGAAAGUAAAGGGAAGAAAUUUGUGAAUAACAGAAAAGUGUGUACUGCAAGAGAAAUUUUUUGCAGAAGAAAUACAAACCAGAGUAAAAACAAGAUAUUGGUAGUCAGUGGAGCAACUUCACAAUCUACAGGAUUUAACAACUUUAACAAUCUACAGGAUUUCUCAGACACUGAUAUGAACUAUAAAGUUGAAAUGUUCUUGGCAAAUGGUCAGUCAAUUUCUGCAGAAGGAAGAGGUACAGUUCUUCUAAAAUGUAAUGUUGGAGCAGGUGAAAUAAAUGAAGUACGCAUUCCAGUACCUAUUAUGUGCCAUGUUUGCAGAAUAGUUUACUGAGUGUGAAAACAGUUACAAAAAGGGGCCACAGAAUUAUUUUUAGAAGAAAUUGUUGUUUUGUGCUAACCGAUUUGGGAAGAAACCUAAGACUUUGCACACUGACAAUAGCAGUGAAUAUUGUGGAAAUGACAUUGAGCAGUAUUUAAAAGAACAGGGAAUUAAGCAUAAAAGAACUAUUACCUAUACGCCAGGACAAAUGGAGUAGCUGAGAGGAAAAAUAGAACUUUCCUUGAAAUGUGCAGAAGCAUGCUACUUGAUGAAGGACUGGAGAAUAAGUACUGGGGAGUUAUUAAGACAGAAACUUAUCUACAAAAUAAAUUACCUGCUAAAACCAAAGAUUCAACUCCUUUUAAAUUGUUAAAUGGAAGAAAAACCAGUGUUCAGAAGUAAAGCAUACAUGCACAUCACCAAGGAGCAGAGGGGGAAACUGGACUGUAGAAGUGAGGAAGGAAUUUUUCUGGGAUAUGAAUCAGGAAGUAAAAAUUAUAGAAUAUUUGACCCUGCUACAGACACUAUCAAGUUGCGCAGUGUUGGUUACUUUGAUGAGAAACAGAAAUCUAUUGUCAAUACAAUGUCGAAAUUGUGACUUAGUUUUUCCAACAGGUGAAAAAGCUGAACAGAAACUAUCAUGUCAAAACAAAGAAGUAAUCUUCAAUCUUGAUGUUGCAGAGAGAUAUCAUUUUGCAAGAGAAUUACAAGAGAAAAGUUCUAUUCAUAUAAAAUACUGUGCUUCAGAAGAAAUCGUUGCAGACAUACUGACAAAACCAUUAACCAGAGAACAUUUUCAAAAUCUGUGGAUGGCAAUUGGGCUUAUGAAUUAAGGAACAAGACAACGAGAACAGGGAUGUAUUUAUUUAUUUAUUUUUAUUUAUUUAUUUAUGUAUUUAUUUAUUUAAUCUAAAAUAUGUAUUACUGUCCCCUAGUACACUAUUGCUCAGGACAGCUCACAACAUCAAUCAAAUAGCUACAAAGUAAAUUAAAAGAUUAAUAAAGUCAAACAAGAUAAAUGACCAGGCUACAAUCACAUUUAAAAUUACAUUUUAAAAACAAGAUUCAAAUUAAAAGUUAUUAAUAAAAAGCUAAAAACUGAGAACUAUUUUUUAAAACUGAGAAUUUUGGAAUUUAUGUGUAUAUACAUUGUCUUUGUUCCUGCCACUUAUGUAUUGUAUGUAUAUCUGUGUAUAGACUUGGGGUAGAUUUUAGAAUGUUCAUGUCAGCCAUUAGUUCUGUAGAAUGAGUGUCAGUUUGUAUUUCUUACUGGAUGCUUGAGAUAGUUUUUCCCCCUGUUAGGAUGGUCUUUCACUCAGAGUAGGACUGUUGUUUAUGAUUUGGUAAUAAUUAAGUAAUAAACAUUAGUAACUUUGUUCAAUAAACUUAACAAGUCUCAAUUUCCACUCUGUUACACUCCGCUACGUCCAGACAAAAUGGAGCACUUUGAUAGAGCUCCGUAUUUCCUUUGGGGUGUUCCAUAGUUAGUAUAGGUAUUAGCAACCUUUCCUGUAGGCCAAGAAUACCUCAGCUAUGGACUUUUAAGACAGUUAAUUUCAGCAAAGCAUAUUCAUAGAUGCUGAAAGAGAAGACAUUAACUGGGGAUCGCUUUUUCCUUUGCACUAUUCGAUAAUAGACCUGAGAAGAUGGACACCUCACAGUGAAAGACCAGUGUGGAGAUGGCUUUGAAAAGAAGGGUAACGUAGCAAUGGGAGUCCCUAUAUGAAUGUGGUAUGUUUAAUUUUGAGCUGGGUUUAAUAAGUGAUGAAAGUAAUGAUGCAGAAUUUUAGAAAUCACACAGCAUAGUUACAGAGUGAUAACAGUCACAAAAGAUAUGUGAGGGCCCUCAUUGUAAGGGGCCUUCACAGCGAGGACCAGUCUUCCCCGUGUGCUGCCCUGUGAGAUAAGCUUGUUAGUUUACUCACAAAGGUGGUGCUCUU